GGAGGGGUGGCAGAGUGGUUUAAUGCGCACGCCUGGAGAGCGUGUGGAGUCGAAAGGCUCUCGGGAGUUCGAAUCUCCCCCCCUCCGCCA
rnacentral:tRNA from 1 species